CCAAACUCUCCUAACUGCUUAGUCCUGGCUACCUUGCAUAGAUAUAAUCACCUCACAAUGUUUCCUACUUUUGGAAUACUCUACCUGAUGAUGUGUGUGAUAGGUAUUCAAUGUCAGACACUGACUGAGUCUGAACCAGUAGUUGUGAAGCCUGGAGAAUCCCACAAACUGACCUGUACUGCCGCUGGGUUCACAUUCAGUAGCUACUGGAUGGCUUGGAUCAGACAGGCUCCUGGGAAGGGGCUAGAGUGGAUGGCUCUUAUAAACACAGGUGGUGGCGGCACCUUUUACUCUCAGUCGGUUCAGGGUCGGUUCACCAUCUCCAGGGACAACAACAAGGACCAGGUGUACCUCCAGAUGAACAGCCUGAAGACUGAAGACUCUGCUGUUUAUUACUGUGCUCGAGAGCCACAGUGACUGAAUGUGGUUGAGCAGCUGUACAGAAACCUACUUCUCUAACUCCGGCUGUCUAACCAUGUUAAAAAAACGUUAUUAAUUUGAUUAAAUGCAAUGUUGAAAAUGCUAACAAUAAAAGACUUGAACUUGAAAA